AGUGGAAUUGCUGGAUCAUAUGGUAAUUCUGUUUAGCAUUUUGAAGAACUGCUAAACUGUUUUGCAAAGCAGCUGCACCAUUUUACACUGCCACUAGCAAU
rnacentral:pre_miRNA from 1 species